UGAGUGAAGAAGGUUUUUCGAUCGUAAAACUCUGUUGUUGGAGAAGAAUGUAUUUGAUAGUAACUGAUCAGGUAGUGACGGUAUCCAACCAGAAAGCCACGGCUAACUACGUGCCAGCAGCCGCGGUAAUACGUAGGUGGCAAGCGUUGUCCGGAUUUAUUGGGCGUAAAGCGAGCGCAGGCGGUUUCUUAAGUCUGAUGUGAAAGCCUUCGGCUCAACCGAAGAAGUGCAUCGGAAACUGGGAAACUUGAGUGCAGAAGAGGACAGUGGAACUCCAUGUGUAGCGGUGAAAUGCGUAGAUAUAUGGAAGAACACCAGUGGCGAAGGCGGCUGUCUGGUCUGUAACUGACGCUGAGGCUCGAAAGCAUGGGUAGCAAACAGGAUUAGAUACCCUGGUAGUCCAUGCCGUAAACGAUGAGUGCUAGGUGUUGGAGGGUUUCCGCCCUUCAGUGCCGCAGCUAACGCAUUAAGCACUCCGCCUGGGGAGUACGACCGCAAGGUUGAAACUCAAAGGAAUUGACGGGGGCCCGCACAAGCGGUGGAGCAUGUGGUUUAAUUCGAAGCAACGCGAAGAACCUUACCAGGUCUUGACAUCCUUUGACCACUCUAGAGAUAGAGCUUUCCCUUCGGGGACAAAGUGACAGGUGGUGCAUGGUUGUCGUCAGCUCGUGUCGUGAGAUGUUGGGUUAAGUCCCGCAACGAGCGCAACCCUUAUUACUAGUUGCCAGCAUUUAGUUGGGCACUCUAGUGAGACUGCCGGUGACAAACCGGAGGAAGGUGGGGACGACGUCAAAUCAUCAUGCCCCUUAUGACCUGGGCUACACACGUGCUACAAUGGAUGGUACAACGAGUUGCGAGACCGCGAGGUUUAGCUAAUCUCUUAAAACCAUUCUCAGUUCGGAUUGUAGGCUGCAACUCGCCUACAUGAAGCCGGAAUCGCUAGUAAUCGCGGAUCAGCAUGCCGCGGUGAAUACGUUCCCGGGCCUUGUACACACCGCCCGUCACACCAUGAGAGUUUGUAACACCCAAAGCCGGUGAGGUAACCCUUCGGGAGCCAGCCGUCUAAG
rnacentral:rRNA from 1 species